rnacentral:rRNA from 1 species
AUUGAACGCUGGCGGCAGGCCUAACACAUGCAAGUCGAGCGAGCGGCGGACGGGUGAGUAAUGUAUGGGGAUCUGCCCGAUAGAGGGGGAUAACUACUGGAAACGGUAGCUAAUACCGCAUACUAUUGGAGCGGCCGAUAUCGGAUUAGCUAGUUGGUGGGGUAAAGGCUCACCAAGGCACCGAUCCGUAGCUGGGUUGAGAGGACGACCAGCCCAACUGAGACUGGGAAACGGCCCAGACUCCAACGGAGGGAAGCAGGGGGAAAUUUUGGCCAAUGGGGGAAACCCUGAUCCAGCCAGCCCGCGUGUAUGAGAGGGCCUUGGGUUUGUAAAGUACUUUUGGCAGAGAAGCGGUAUCUGCAGAAUAAGCACCGGCUAACUACGUGCCAGCAGCCGCGGUAAUAC